rnacentral:rRNA from 1 species
GCGGUAACAGAUCCAGCUUGCUGGAUGCUGACGAGCGGCGGACGGGUGAGUAAUGCAUAGGAAUCUGCCCGGUAGUGGGGGAUAACCUGGGGAAACCCAGGCUAAUACCGCAUACGUCCUACGGGAGAAAGGGGGCUUCGGCUCCCGCUAUCGGAUGAGCCUAUGUCGGAUUAGCUAGUUGGUGAGGUAACGGCUCACCAAGGCCACGAUCCGUAGCUGGUCUGAGAGGAUGAUCAGCCACAUCGGGACUGAGACACGGCCCGAACUCCUACGGGAGGCAGCAGUGGGGAAUAUUGGACAAUGGGGGGAACCCUGAUCCAGCCAUGCCGCGUGUGUGAAGAAGGCCCUCGGGUUGUAAAGCACUUUCAGCGAGGAAGAACGCCUAGCGGUUAAUACCCGCUAGGAAAGACAUCACUCGCAGAAGAAGCACCGGCUAACUCCGUGCCAGCAGCCGCGGUAAUACGGAGGGUGCAAGCGUUAAUCGGAAUUACUGGGCGUAAAGCGCGCGUAGGUGGCUUGAUAAGCCGGUUGUGAAAGCCCCGGGCUCAACCUGGGAACGGCAUCCGGAACUGUCAAGCUAGAGUGCAGGAGAGGAAGGUAGAAUUCCCGGUGUAGCGGUGAAAUGCGUAGAGAUCGGGAGGAAUACCAGUGGCGAAGGCGGCCUUCUGGACUGACACUGACACUGAGGUGCGAAAGCGUGGGUAGCAAACAGGAUUAGAUACCCUGGUAGUCCACGCCGUAAACGAUGUCGACCAGCCGUUGGGUGCCUAGCGCACUUUGUGGCGAAGUUAACGCGAUAA